UCCUACGGGAGGCAGCAGUGAGGAAUAUUGGACAAUGGGGGAAACUCUGAUCCAGCCACGCCGCGUGCUGGAAGAAGGUCCUAUGGAUUGUAAACAGCUUUUAUUAGGGAAGAAUCCCCCGGUUUUGAUGGGGGUUGACGGUACCGAAAGAAUAAGCAUCGGCUAACUCCGUGCCAGCAGCCGCGGUAAUACGGAGGGUGCAAGCGUUGUCCGGAAUCAUUGGGUGUAAAGGGUGCGUAGGCGGACAAUUAAGUCUGAGGUGAAAUCUUGCCGCUCAACGGUAAAAUUGCCUUUGAUACUGGUUUUCUUGAGUACGUGAGAAGUGGGUAGAAUAUGUAGUGUAGCGGUGAAAUGCAUAGAUAUUACAAAGAACACCAAUUGCGAAGGCGGCUGACUGGUAAGUAACUGACGCUGAGGCACGAAAGCGUGGGGAGCGAACAGGAUUAGAUACCCUGGUAGUCCACGCUGUAAACGAUGUAUGCUAGGUGUUGGCCUUCGGGUCAGUGGCGCAGCGAAAGCAAUAAGCAUCCCACCUGGGGGAGUACG
rnacentral:rRNA from 1 species